GGGCCCGCACAAGCGGAGGAACAUGUGGUUUAAUUCGAUGAUACGCGAGGAACCUUACCCGGGCUUGAAUUGCUAAUGAAUGGAGUAGAGAUAUUCCAGCCGCAAGGCAUUAGUGAAGGUGCUGCAUGGUUGUCGUCAGCUCGUGCCGUGAGGUGUCGGCUUAAGUGCCAUAACGAGCGCAACCCUUGUCCAUAGUUGCCAUCAGGUGAAGCUGGGCACUCUGUGGAGACUGCCACCGUAAGGUGUGAGGAAGGUGGGGAUGACGUCAAAUCAGCACGGCCCUUACGUCCGGGGCUACACACGUGUUACAAUGGGUCAUACAGAAGGCAGCUACCGCGCAAGCGGAUGCGAAUCCCGAAAGUGAUCCUCAGUUCGGACUGGGGUCUGCAACCCGACCCCACGAAGCUGGAUUCGCUAGUAAUCGCGCAUCAGCCAUGGCGCGGUGAAUACGUUCCCGGGCCUU
rnacentral:rRNA from 1 species